GUCACUCCCUCCUCCCUCACUAGUCACUCCUCUAUGCUGUGCAUUUCUGCCCGCGUAAUCCCCAACAUUUUGCCCCAAAUUUCACACCCUCCUCCCUCACUCUAAUCCCCAACAUAUUUCUGAUUUCACUCGACGACGCACCGGAAACAAGGCAGCUCAUCUUCUGCCCUCACUGGACGACGCACCGGCGACGACGUACUUGGAAGUAGAACAACAAGCCAUUUGAACGUUUGACCUUUCUGAUAUCUUAGAAAUUAAAGACCGCCCUUUUUUCAAGGGUAUUCCUUCCAGGACCACCUUCUUUCAAGGGUAUUCCAACCCAUGCUUGGGAUGGGAAUUGAUCCUGGGACCUUCUAUACCGAAUGCCAUAAGACCACAAAGGAGAUGGCAGCUAAAUGAGUUGAUUAAGAAGCUAGAUCCUGUAAGUAAAUCAGUGAGUACUUUAGCAGGUACUGGUCAAGCUGGUUUCAACCCUAUAAGUAAAGCAGUGAUUGUUGAUCUACUCUAGAUAUUUACUGAUUGCUUGAGAAGCAAAAGUGAAGGUGGAUCUUGCAUAAUUGGUGCAAAAAUAUGUUUUUGAUGGUGAAGUUGCAAAAGUUGGCCUUGAUCUGAAGAAUUGAAUUGCAUUCACUUGCUUCCUUUUUGAGCAGAAACUGGUAUUUUUUUUCUUCUUACAUUUCAUUCUUAGAUUUUAUUUUGGAACAAUCUAUUAUGUUGAUCUUUUGUGUGGUUUAAUAGCCUGAAUUAUGUCGCAAAAGAGUAAAAGUUUGAUGUCCUAACAUCCAACACAACCCCGGCAGUUGCAUGAUAGUGAUUCGAAGUGUACUAUGUCGGGAUCGCCUGCUUCA